CUCCAUAAAAUUGGGAAACAAAAUCAGCCUUUAUUUCAGCCUUUAUUUGUUCCUGGCCAUUUCACAAAACCUGAUGCAGAUUUUCUCACGAUGGCCCUGUUACCCGUUUUAAGUGAGGUGGGUUCGGUAAAGCGGCAGAGAGAAUCAAGAAUUGUGAACUACUUACAGGACUUCAUUCAAAGCCUUGAAGAAGAAGAAGUGAGCAGUGGUAGGGAGAGCAGAGGUGAGGACGACAACAAAAAGGUAGAUGAAACGGAGGACCGUACAAAAGAAAACGCAGAACAAGACCAGAUCACCAUUAGCAGCCUCAUGCAGUGACCUACUGGUCAGGGACAUGUUCCCAUUACGUCUGCACAAAGAGAAAAAUUUAAAAUACACAUAGAAUUUGAUCAUGACUGUCAGCUACAAUAUGGUGAGCACAAUUUAUGCUACCCUCUUGUAAAUGCAUGUUCCUGUACUGUGACCUUGCCUACUAGGCACCUAGGGACUUACACGGAGUUCCUCGAAAUUAUGAGGCAGGCUGUG